GUCUAAGUAUAAACAAUUUUGUACUGUGAAACUGCAAAUGGCUCAUUAAAUCAGUUAUAGUUUAUUUGAUGAUAUCUUGCUACAUGGAUAACUGUGGUAAUUCUAGAGCUAAUACAUGCAAUCAAAGCCCCGACUUCUGGGAGGAGUGUAUUUAUUAGAUAAAAAACCAACGCGGCUUGCCACUCGUUUGGUGAUUCAUAAUAACUUCUCAAAUUGCAUGGCCUUGUGCCGGAAAUGCUUCAUUCAAAUAUCUGUCCUAUCAACUUUUGAUGGUAGGAUAGAGGCCUACCAUGGUUUCAACGGGUAACGGGAAUAAGGGUUCGAUUCCGGAG
rnacentral:ncRNA from 1 species